UUAUCAAGGUUAAGAAAACACGAAAACAUCAAAACAAGGGGGGCUGCCCGAUGCCGAGCGCUGGCAGUGGCCCCGGAUGGCUUGCGGGACCGAGGGCAGGGAGAAGCCAGCGUCCCUCUGGCAGCCAGGGACGGGCAGCAGCCGCCCUGCCAGCCCGCGCUCGGCUCGGCCGCUAAGGGCCAAAUGCGCUGUCUUGUGCUCCCGCAGGCUGCCUUCUGGUACGGAAGAAGCAGAAGACCUAGAAGAUCUGACUGCUUGAAUAUUUUUACUGCUUGAAUGUCAUGUUUUGAGGUCGAUGCACUCACCUGCCAGCUGCUAUGGAAGGAUUCUGCCCUGCUGUAUGAUCAGACAAGCCAUAUCUUCUCAUGAGGAUCGGGACCAUGAUUCUUGACAGAGCUAGCAUUUUCCAAGAAGGAUAUUAAUUAACCCUCAUUAGAGGUGACAGUGCCUGAGAGGGUGCAUUAGGGGAAAAUGAAGGCUCCCUUCCUCAUCACGAACGUCUUUGGCUGCAGACACUGCAAGGAUCAGAUCUAAUAGGAGCCUAAGAUGUUGCAUAAACCAAAAAUGUAUGAAUCAUGGAGAAAAAGAAUCAGUGUUCAGAAUAUAUGAGGUGCUUUCAUGCUGAGAUUUGUUGAAGUUGAUACAGUACCUUUGUCCUACUGGAAGGUUAAAGUUGGAGAAGGAAAUACUUGCUCCCAAGAAGCAGAAACUGAACUCUCCCAAAAGUUUGUAAUGUUUCUGAUCUUAAUACUACAACAGAAAAGUUCAAAAGCUGAUUAGGUAAGAUCCAGAUGACUAGUACUACUAGAAGGUAAGCCUUAUUAGGUCCAUGCCUAAAAACAAAAAUUCUAUUAAAGACUACGUAUUUUUUAAGAAUUAAUCAGAUUUAGAAUUUGUUUACAUUUCAUAGUUCAUGAAACUAAAAUAACCACAUGCAAGAUACUCAGGUACUAAGAACAAACAAAAACAAUGGUACUAUAGAAAAGGAGAAAAAGGCCUAAUGCAACCUCUUAGCAAUUGUUAGGAAUUUGAACUUCAGUUUCCAGCUUCAGAAGCUCACAUAUAUUCCAGUAAUUGCCAUUAAAAUCAUUUACUGCUCCACUAACCAAUAUUGUCUAAGACAUCCCUUAGAACAACUGUUUAAAUCAGUAUUGAUAAAAAAUCCUUGCACAAUAAAAAUUGGUCUUUUCCUAAAAUUUUACCUUGAGUUUGGCCUUAAACAAAGCUCCUCUACUGUAUCAGUAGAACACAGGACAUGGAUGAAACCCAUGUCAGAGAAGCAAUCAGCUGAAAAAAGUAAGAAAGAGGCAGACAUAGAUUCCCUCCCAGCAUUUAGGCAUAGCCUCACAGUUAUUUUGGUAUAUCAGUAUGGUGUAUUGAAGGAUGUUGUGCAGCUAGGCUCAAAUAUAAUCCCUUGACCUUGUACUGGUAGGGGGAAAGAUUUCACUGUUAUUGCCUUGUGCUUUUCUUGCUAGAGGCAGAAAAGAUUUCUGAGGUUUUUCUGAUCCCACUUUUCACUUGGACCACAUUAACUUUAAAACAAAUAAAAAUAAACAAAUAAACCAGAAAGUUUGUUUUGUACUAAAAAAACCAGAAUCUAUCAUAAAUUUUAUUAUCAAAUUAUAGUGAAAAUUCUCUAAGCAUUAUUGCCACAUUUUUACAGGCAUGUAGAGGAAGAAUCCCCGGUGUUUUGGUUCCAAAUGCUCCAGCCUUAGAGGAUGUUAAAAAUUAAAUAGAAUAGAUGUUGGAAAUGCCCAAGGCAUAAAACCCUAGCAUAGCUUUUUCAAAAAUAAUUUCUAAUCUAGUUUGGUUUGUUGGUUUUGUUUCUUUUUUAUACCUUAUCAGAACAUGCAUCAAACUUCUUGGUAUUCACACAGAACAGGAAGUUUAUAAGCUUAUGUGUUCAAGGCCAGGUUGGACGGGGCUCUGAGCAAGGUGUCCAUGCCCAUGACAGAAGGAUGGGAUUAGAAUUCUCAAGUGUCCUUUCCAACCCAAACCAUUCUAUGAAGCCUAGAGGAGGACAAAAAGAAAUACACACCUUUCUGCUUUUCACUGGUUGGAAUCAAAUACCUUGGGACCAGACCCAUGGAAUUAUCACAAUGGAAUUCAAUAUGAAAGGAAAAGAAACCUUAUUCAGGUAAGGUUUAUUAUUCUGUUUCUUUACAUCUUUGAUAGUUGAAGCAAGCAUUUCAAAGAUAUAGAAAAGGAAGACUCUC